AUCAAUAAGCGGAGGAAAAAGAUACUUACAGGGAUUGCCGUAGUAACGGCGAGUGAACAGGCAAGAGCUCAGAUUUGAAAGGCACUUUUGUGCCGUUGUAUUCUGAAGUUAGGGUCCUGAGAAACGAUGCUUAAGUCUUCUGGAAAGGAGCGCCAUGGAGGGUGAUAGCCCCGUCUAGCAUUGACCUCAUAUAGGAUCUUAACAUGGAGUCGAGUUGUUUGGGAAUGCAGCUCAAAUGGGUGGUAUGCUCCAUCUAAAGCUAAAUAUCUGCGAGAGACCGAUAGUAAACAAGUACUGUGAGGGAAAGAUGAAAAGAACUUUGAAAAGAGAGUGAAAAAGUACGUGAAAUUGUUGAAAUGGAAGGGUAGGCCGCUAACCAAUGUAGAGCCGUGUUUGGGGGGAAGAUAAAUGCUGUAGAAUGUAGUCUCCUCGGAGUAUUCAUAGCAUGCAGUUCAUAAUUCCCAACCACGUAGUCGUGUAGCAUCUCAGUUACUACUACAAGUGGUGGCUAAUCCACAUUUG
rnacentral:rRNA from 1 species